UUGAACAGUUACCCCAGUCCCACUUGGAAGCUCUUCUUUAGUUCCAGGUGAACGUUAUAACAGACACGCAGCUGGAAUCAGUCUGUACCAUUAUUUCAAGUCAAGGGAUUGUCUUCUUUCAGAGAGUCAGAGAACAUUCAGCAGAGCGCAUUGCAAGAGAGAGGCUUAACCCUCAAGACUGCUUGUCCUGGGACGGCCCAUUGGCAGGGCUCUGUCUUACUGGGAGGAGGUUAUAAUGACCAGGAAUAUGGCUGUUCCUAGGUAGGUCGUAUGGAUUCUGGAUAUAGCUGGAGUUACAACCACGGCUUUCUUGGACCACACUGACUGUGGGCUCUAAGGAAUAUAGUGAAAAAUGAGUUCAGAGAACAGAUUAGCUUUGGUUGCCUUGUUGGGGGGAAGAGAAUUCUAUUUAACUUGGUCGGGGGAGAAGCCAGGGGUUUAUGAUAAAUGUAUGAAGGUUAGGACUGAGGCUUGUUCAAGAGAUUGAAAAGCUAAGUGAGUGUGCUAUCAGAAUCCCAAGCUCUGGUCAAAACCGAGGGACUUAGAGUAGGGGUCAGGGGUUGUAUCAGUGAACCCAGGGACAUGGGUUAAACUGGGAAAAAGUAGAAUAAGGUGAUUUCGAAACUUGCAAAUGUCUGUUCUGAUUGUUUUCUUUUUUAAACAGGAAUUUGUGUCAACGAUCAGUUGAAGUGUAUGUUUUUGUGUGUAUUGACUCCCCACCCCCAAUAUGUCUGUUUCACACGUAGCCUUAGUGUUUUUUAAAAGCAGAGUUGGCACAAGAAUUUGAUUUCUUGUAUGAGAGAGGAGGGCAGUCCUGGGAAAGACAGUUCACCUUGGAUUCCUUAAAAAGCAACAAAAGAAGGGUGUAUUUUCAAGACGGGGACUGGAGAGGGCUGUUUUCACUUCAGAUGCUGUACUAAUGCCCUGAUUUCACUAAGUUACUUAUUUGAGACACCUACCAACUUCAUAUAUAUUUUUAUUAGAUGUCGACAAGGAUGGCACAUCUGUGUAUGGAGACCCCGUGUGCACAGGCGACUUCAUUUCUACAUAGCUGCUUUCUGGAAGCGUGCAGGGGAGCCUGAGCAACCAGCCCCAGAAGACAACUCUGCAGGCACGACCACCCACCUUCAGCGGUGUGUAGGAGACGCGGGGAGCCAGGUCUCGGCCCUUCUCUUUCUGCCGCCGCCGGUGCCAGGCGAACAGGCCCAGCAGCACCACAAUGAGGAACAACAGGAGGACGAUGCCUGUGACAGCACCCACCGAGUGCCGCUCUGCACCCAGUGCUGGGCUGAUCUUGGUGUAGGGAUUUAGCUCCUCCAUCAUGAGGGCAGCUGCGGACAGAGGGAGGGGCUGAGCCUGGGGCAGGCCUGCUUGCUCUUCAGAUCUCCUCAGCCUGGGGCCUGGACUCCUAAGGUUAGGAGACCCGGGUGCUGGUCUUGGCCCUAUUCUUCAAUCCCUUCAACCUCACGUGUCUGUCUUCAACUGUCUACAAAGGGUAGCGUCCCAGGGUCGUGACAGGGAGCAAAUGUGAUCAUAGGUGGGAGCCAAAAUAAUGGAUGUUUACUGAGUGUUUUACUCUGUUCUGAAAAUGAGUUACAGAUAUUAACUCAUUUGAUCUUCCCAGCAGCCCUAUAAAAAGCUGUUUAUAAGUCCUUUAAGAAAUAAAGACUAAUUAUUUCCCUUUCACAGAUGAAGAAACCGAGUCACCAAAAGGUUAGGUAAUUUGCCCAAGAUCACACAACCAGUAACUGGUAGAGUGGGUUUCUCAGGAGUCGGGAAAAACUGGACUCAGCCCCCUCCCUGUCUACCAACUGUGUGACUCAGAAUCCUCAGUUUGCUCAUUUGUAACAUGGGGACAGCAAUCCCACUGUGAGCACUAAUGAGAGACUGACAAUGAAAGCUGUGAGUGCUGUACCAGUGUGCCCAGGAUUGCUGCUCCUAAAACCCCUCUUGAUGAUAUAUGUGUGGGCUGUCCCUCAUCCCCCGUCAGAAUGCAGUGGAAAUGUCUUUUGGCCCCUUUUCUGUACUGUGAACGCUUGGGUGCCCAUUCUCAUCCCUAUCUCCUACAGCCAACAGCAAAAACCCUUUAUCGAGUGCUCACUUGAUGUGCCAGGCACUGUGCUGAGUCCUUUACUCACAUUAUCUUAACUUGGUCUUCACAACAGCACUAUGGGGUCUUGUCUGACUAUAGACCUGGAGCCAAGGUUGAGCCCCUUUGGGCUCCUUGGCUCUCAGCAGAACCUUGUGUCUUUCCACAUGUGGAGUAACAGACCCAGCAAAAGGAAAUGGCCGGCCCAAGGACACCUAGCAGAAGUAGUUUUAACUGGGCGUAUGUCCACCUGCACAGCGAGGUAUGACCACGUGACUACAUUCUGACCAAUGGGAAUGAAAUGGAGAACUGAAGCCCAGAAGAUAUAAAGAAAAGGUGCAUAUGUAGGAAGCAAGAAGAAGAAAAGGUGAAGGAACAGUCAAGAGAAGCAGGAGAAUACCAAGAGCUCAGUUUCACAGGACCAGGAUGGUGGCAUGGCAGAGGGGGUUACCUGUCCAUCCGGCCAGGCAGCAGCAGUGGCCUGUGACGGGAUCGCAGCCAUCGGCGUGGCUGCAGUCACAACGCUCACUGCAGUUCAGCCCGAAUGUGCCAUCCUGUGGAGAGAAGGGGGAGAGAGAAAUGACGAGACCUAGACCCUCAGAGGUUCUCACACUUCUUUCGGAUGUUGAUGACAAAACUGAGCCACUGCCCAACAAGGAUGAAGAGAAACUGGGGCUGGAGCGCUGUGGAGGCACUUUUUAUAACCGGGGAUCCAGUGAAGCUACUCCAAAUAAUUCUUUGGCUGCAUUACGAAGAGUAUGCAGUUUGGAGGGAGGGAGGUGUGGUCCUGCCCUACCUCUCAAUGGUCAAGCUCAGAGAGCUGUAAUGAUCAUUAAUUAAAAUUGUAAAUGAAAA